UACGAAGGGGGCUAGCGUUGCUCGGAAUUACUGGGCGUAAAGCGCACGUAGGCGGAUCGAUCAGUCAGGGGUGAAAUCCCGGGGCUCAACCCUGGAACUGCCUUUGAUACUGUCGAUCUGGAGUAUGGAAGAGGUGAGUGGAAUUCCGAGUGUAGAGGUGAAAUUCGUAGAUAUUCGGAGGAACACCAGUGGCGAAGGCGGCUCACUGGUCCAUUACUGACGCUGAGGUGCGAAAGCGUGGGGAGCAAACAGG
rnacentral:rRNA from 1 species